rnacentral:pre_miRNA from 1 species
UAAGGGAGGUGACAGAAGAGAGUGAGCACACAUAAUACUUUCUUGUAAGAUAAAGAUUCAUGCUUGAAGUUAUGUGUGCUCACUCUCUAUCUGUCACCCCACCA